rnacentral:rRNA from 1 species
UACGUAGGGUGCAAGCGUUGUCCGGAAUUAUUGGGCGUAAAGGGCUCGUAGGCGGUCCAUCGCGUCGGGAGUGAAAAGCUGGGGCUUGAACCCCAUGUCCCGUCGCUUCCGAUACGGGUGGACGUAGAGGUAGGCAGGGGAGAACGGGAAUUCCUGGAUGUGAGCGGGUGGAAAUGACGCAGAUAUCAGGAGGGAACACCGGUGGCGAAGGCGGUUCUCUGGGCCUUACCUGACGCUGAGGAGCGAAAGCAUGGGGAGCAAACAGG